GGGCACAUGGUGUAGUUGGUUAUCAUGCCCGCUUAGCACCUCGCGUCUGGGCGGUCCCCGGUUCGAUUCCGGGUGUGUGCA